UACGUAGGGUGCAAGCGUUUGUCCGGAAUUAUUGGGCGUAAAGAGCUCGUAGGCGGUUUGUCGCGUCUGCUGUGAAAACCCGAGGCUCAACCUCGGGCCUGCAGUGGGUACGGGCAGACUAGAGUGCGGUAGGGGAGAUUGGAAUUCCUGGUGUAGCGGUGGAAUGCGCAGAUAUCGAGGAGGAACACCGACGUGGCGAAGG
rnacentral:rRNA from 1 species